ensembl:lncRNA
UCCUCCGCUUCCUUCCUUUGCCCCCACGCCUUCCUUCUCUCCUUCUUCGGGACCCAUGCUGCGCCCCUGCCCAUCGCCCUUGCUCUCCUGCUCCCAGUGGGCCAGGUCGGGAUCCACCCCGCUCUGCCCUCUUGCCCUCUUGGGCACGGUCCCCUCACAACACCCACAUGCAGACUUUGAGACGCUCCUCUCGGUCUCCAGCCCUUUCUGCCUUGCCCUCUCUCUGUUGUCCCUUGGCUCCAGCCCGCAGGGCAAGAGCCCCCACCUCCCAGCCCCCACUGUCCCACCCCUCGCUCUCUCCCUCCGCGCCCCUUGGCUGACAACGUCAUCUUCUGCGACCCGACCUGUGACCCCGCGCUGGUUUGAAGGUCCCCGUCUAUCCGUGCUUGCCUCUGCGGGCUCCUCCCGCCACGUGCUAGACUACCUCCAUUCCUCUCCGGGUCCCCGUCUAUCCGUGCUUGCCUCUGCGGGCUCCUCCCGCCCCGUGCUAGACUACCUCCAUUCCUCUCCGGGUCCCCUGAAAUAGCAGAAGCAGGCAUUUGGCGAUCUUUGCGAACUCUCACCUCCGCCUUGCUUCCUACCUGCUCCUCUGCCAUUUCUAAGCGUGCCUGCCAUCCACACGCUGGACUCCAUGCUCGUGAGUCCAUCCCGAAGGCCCUGACGUGCUUCCUGAGCGGGGUGCCUCGUAACUGCCAGCCUGCCCCGUUUCCUCUGUGUCACUACAGCCACUGUAUCCCCUUUCCGCACCUGUUCCCCAGGGGUCCGGCUCUUCACACCCCCCGGGCCGUGAGUCCUGCCUCCGCGCUCCCGCCCUGCUCCUGCCACGUGGCCUCCAUUCCUCCCCUGCCAAGCCCCUUGCCCAGACAUCGGCCCAUGUCCCAACACCGCACGCUCUUCAGGCUGGCUUCCCCUUUUCCCACCCGGAGUCCCCCGCACGUUCACGAGGUUCCCUCCCCUCUUCAGUCCCGCCUGCCCCUGUCUCUUCCCAUCGGCUAUCCUGACCCCCCACCCACAGCCCGCAGACCACCUGCUCACGGCUGCCCGAGACUCCACUAUCGCCCUCUGCGCACGUCCCUGCUGUGCGGAUUUCAACCCUUCUUGGCCCAUCCUCCUCUUUUUCUCCCACUGUCGUCUCUGAGAGACCCUCGCGUCCUCUUCAGCCACCGUCCUACUCGCCCUCGUAGCUGUCGGGCCCGUGAGGCAGCCACCGUCUUCUCCCAGCAACUUGUGCCCUGGAUGCCCUGCCCUCAUGCUCCCCGCCUUGCCCUCCUCAUCGCCAACGUGCUGUGCCGAAUCCAUCUGCUCUCCCGGUUCGCUCCCAAGGCCCCUACCGUUUUAGCUGCCACCGUUUUUGAGACGGUCACUCCUCCUCUGGGCGUCUCUCUGACCUUUCCCGUCUCCCCGUGCCCCACACUGACAGGGCUGUCUCCAGCACCUUCCAGGCCACUACCACCACCGCCUCAUCCUCCUCCGUUCUCCUCCCUCCCGCCUCUCCUGCGUUCCUUGAUUCCUCGCCCACGCUGUGCUCUGCUCCCGGGUGCGCUUCCUCGGGGCCCUGGUCCACUCACGGGAACACACUUCCUUGAUUCUCCACGUCCAGCCCUUCCUUCGGGCCCUCCGCCGGCCCUCGUGGCCCGGCACGUCCCUGGUCCUCUGUGCAAGCCUCUCCUGUCCCCAGCGGUCAGGCGCCACGGCCUGCCCCUCUCCCGCUUCCGGCCGGCUGGACCGCCUCUCCUCGACCCUACUCUCCCACGUCUUGCACGCUGCUCCCCUCACCUCCUGCCUCCAGGGCCCCAUUUCCUUGCCUCUCCUCUCUGCUCCUCACCUGCCUACACAGCAACGGGACGGGACUGUCCUACCGGAGCCCGCGAACGUUCUUUCAGCUACCCUCUGUGACUCUUCCAGCGGGCCUCAGGACUUGGCGCUGCUGUGUGCUCCAUGCUUAGUCCCUCGCCCCCGGCUCAACCCACUUCGGCCGGUCGUCUUCGCCUCGCACACAACGUACUGAAUGAG